rnacentral:rRNA from 1 species
GACGAACGCUGGCGGCGUGCCUAAUACAUGCAAGUAGAACGCUGAAGGCGGAGCUUGCUUCUCUGGAUGAGUUGCGAACGGGUGAGUAACGCGUAGGUAACCUGCCUGGUAGCGGGGGAUAACUAUUGGAAACGGUAGCUAAUACCGCAUAAUAGUAGAUGUUGCAUGACAUUUGCUUAAAAGGUGCAAUUGCAUCACUACCAGUUGGACCUGCGUUGUAUUAGCUAGUUGGUGGGGUAACGGCUCACCAAGGCGACGAUACAUAGCCGACCUGAGAGGGUGAUCGGCCACACUGGGACUGAGACACGGCCCAGACUCCUACGGGAGGCAGCAGUAGGGAAUCUUCGGCAAUGGACGGAAGUCUGACCGAGCAACGCCGCGUGAGUGAAGAAGGUUGUCGGAUCGUAAAGCUCUGUUGUAAGAGAAGAACGAGUGUGAGAGUGGAAAGUUCACACUGUGACGGUAUCUUACCAGAAAGGGACGGCUAACUACGUG